UGGGGAAUAUUGCACAAUGGGCGAAAGCCUGAUGCAGCGACGCCGCGUGGGGGAUGACGGCCUUCGGGUUGUAAACCUCUUUCAGCAAGGAAGAAGCGAAAGUGACGGUACUUGCAGAAGAAGCGCCGGCUAACUACGUGCCAGCAGCCGCGGUAAUACGUAGGGCGCAAGCGGUGUCCGGAAUUAUUGGGCGUAAAGGGCUUGUAGGUGGCUUGUCGCGUCUGCCGUGAAAACUCGAGGCUUAACCUUGGGCGUGCGGUGGGUACGGGCAGGCUAGAGUGCGGUAGGGGAGACUGGAAUGCCUGGUGUAGCGGUGAAAUGCGCAGAUAUCAGGAGGAACACCGAUGGCGAAGGCAGGUCGCUGGGCCGUUACUGACACUGAGAAGCGAAAGCAUGGGGAGCGAACAGG
rnacentral:rRNA from 1 species